rnacentral:rRNA from 1 species
GUGCCAGCAGCCGCGGUAAGACAGAGGUGCCAAGCGUUAGGCGGAAUCACUGGGCUUAAAGCGUGUGUAGGCGGAUUGGUAAGUACCUUGUGAAAUCCCACAGCUCAACUGUGGAACUGCUUGGUAUACUGCCUAUCUUGAGCCACUUAGGGGCUGUCGGAACAAAUGGUGGAGCGGUGAAAUGCGUAGAUAUCAUUUGGAACGCCAAAGGUGAAAACAGACAGCUGGGAGUGUGCUGACGCUGAGACACGAAAGCCAGGGGAGCGAACGGGAUUAGAUACCCCCGUAGUCC